CACAUUCCCCAACCCCGCGACGCCGCGCCGGGUGGGUGACCGCCAGCAGAUUCGACACAGAACCCGCAAUCCUUCGGAGCCCGGAGAGGGCUCGCUCCACCUCCGGCGCCUGGGAGGGCUGCGGGAUCUCAGGUAACACCCCGCCAACAGACUUGCACGAAGAUGCGUCAGGCCACCCCCCAAUAGAGUGGACAGUCCAAGACGCAGACGCAUCCGAGACCUGCAGACAGAGACGCCCGAGGACCUUCAAAGCAUAGGCUUUGGGCACUGCACUGGGGCUCACCCACGGGAAUACACAGUUCUGUUUGUGUUCUUGCGCUCCCAGUGCCUUAAAGGUUCAUAAAACAUCGACUCUAGGACGCAGACUCAAUGUUGCUCAGGCUCUCCUGUUCCUCACAUGAGGAAACAAAAGACUUGGUUAAUGAUUUGCCCGUCUUACCACGCCCUUGCCUUGUCGACCUCAAGAAAAUAGCUGCGGAGAGGUGAGGGGCUCUUUGUAGAAGGUCAGUUCUGAGCAACCUUUGCAGAGCGAGCAGGGUUUGACCCAGCAGAGAUGUGGAAAAGCGAGAAGCAGAGAGAGGAGGAAAGACUAGGAAACAAGGUGCCCAGAGUGAGGGGCUCAGCUGUCCAGAAGGAAGCCAGCAAGGACUCCGUUACAGUUGGGACAACCUGGGGCGGGGCCCCACAGAGGAAGAAGAGAGCGGUGGAAGUAAAACUUCUCUGCCGAGUAAGGUAGAAGGAAGAGGAUGUGAUUUCCAUUUAUACUGCUCUAAGAGAAUGUUCUUCGUUGACAUGGAUCCCCACUGUGCUCUCUGAGGAGUGUCUAUCAUGGCAGGUACUGGCAUUGAAACAACACUGGCUGAUCUGCAUCUCUGUGAAGGGUGACACAUUCGUUCUCCCCAGUACUUACUGAGAAGAGCUUUCCUGCCAAAGCAGAAGAUAGGUGCUGGAGGACACAAAGAUGUGGCUGUGACUGCCUGCUGGCCUCAGGGUAUGAGAAAAGUGGCCGAGUAAAUACAUACAUACAUUUACAUACAAAGUAAAGGAAUGGAAGUAAGUACAAAGUGCCUUGGGAACACAAAUAAGGAAGUAACUUGCUUUGACUGGCAAAUCUGGCUUCACCAAAGAGGUUAAGUUUUGAAGGAUGAAAGGAGGUUUGCAGGGAAGGAGUAAAACAUCCAGGCAGAGGGAAUGUGACAGAAUGCACAGUAGCCCAGGUGAUGGCAUCUAGGGGAGGGCAGGUGGGUGGAGGAGGGCUGGUGGAGAGGCAGCUGCCACUGUCCACGGGGACCAGAUUAUGAAAAGCCUUGUUUGCCAUUUUUAUAAGGCAUUUGGAUUUCAUUCUAGUCGCAACAUGGAGUCUACACAGGCUGCUAAGCACAGGAAUGUCAAACAUCUGUGUUGUAUUAUAAUUUUGGCAUCGAUGUGGCAGAUGGAUGGGGACGCCCGGUUUAAGAGACCACAGAUUGUAAGGACCUGAACUAGACAAAUGGUGGGGGUCGUGAGUUGGGAGGGAGAGAAUGGGCUUAAGAGGUAUUAAGAAAGAGUUAGUGGGACUUGGGAACCUCAUAUGUCAGGAGGGAGUGAAACAGAAGAAUUUGGGGGUGCUAGGCUUUUAGCUUAGACAACUGGAUUUGUGGUAAGGAAUUAUAAUUGACGGGUUUAGUCCUGGGUAAUGAUGGAAAUGCCCAAGGAAGGGCACAAGGGGCCAUUACACAGAGGAGAGCACACCAUAUACACUCCAUAGACAAAAUCACAAGGUUUCUCCAAAAAUCUGUAAAUCACUGAAAGUCCCUUCUGCUUCCCUGGGGCAAACCACUCUCCUUGGUGGUUUUCAGGAAGUCAGCUUGCCAAAAGACAAAAGGGAAGUCUCACUGUUUCACACACUGUGUGGCGUUUGCAUUUAUAAUCCUUGCCCUGCCUUUAUUCUACCACAGUCUGUGCUUGAUUGGUCUUCCGCAUAUAUGAGUAAAUAUCAGCUGUGAUAAAUGUCUCAAAAUUGUUCUUCGGUAGUUAUUUCUGGACUCUCCCUCGAGAUCAGCGCACCUUAGUUCCCUCAUUGGAGCUUAUAUGUGGCAUCUCUUCUGGACACCUUGAAUUCUGAAUCGUCUUCCCUCGGCCCCUCUGGUGGGACUCUUUCAAUGGCCAUUAAGAUUUGUGACUCGGGGCACCUGAGUGGCUCAGUCAGUUGGCUGUUGAUUUUGGCUCAGGUCAUGAUCUCACGGUUUGUCGGUUUGAGCCCCACAUCAGGUUCUUUGCUGACAGCCUGCUUGGGAUUCUCUCUCCCUCUCUCCCUUUCCCUCUCUCUUUCAAAAAUAAAUAAACUUAAAAAAAAAAAAUCUGUUUCUCUUGCAUGCUGAAACUGGGUCCUGAAGAGUUUUGUCUCAACAGCAGCUGCUUUUUUUUUUUUUUUCCAUUGGUGGACAAAAAGGUGGUUGUUAGGCCUUGAUUAUCUGAUCUCUGUUAAGUGGCAAAGACUGGGAGCUUAGUGUCCCUGUCUUUUUUUUUGUUCCUGCUUUUCUUGAAGCUUCUACUAUUUGGGAAGCCGAUAUGUAUGCCUUGAGAUCACAAUACAAUGAUUUAAUCAGGAACUUGCCACCCUCAACUGUAACGUUGAAAAUUGUUAUGUCGGGGCACCUGGGUGGCUCAGUCGGUUAAGCGUCCAACUUCAGCUCAGAUCAUGAUCUCACAGUUCGUGAGUUCAAGCCCCACGUCGGGCUCUGUGCUGACAGCUCAGAGCCUGGAGCCUGCUUCCGAUUCUGCGUCUCCCUCUCUCUCUGACCCUCCCCUGCUCAUGCUCUGUCUCUCUCUGUCUCAAAAAUAAAUAAAACAUUAAAAAAAAAAAAAAGAAAAUUGUUAUGUCAUAUCUAACAGUGCUGAUUUAUUGUAUUUUUCAAGUAUUGAUAGAAUCCUUUGUGUUCUUUGUCCUAUGCUCUAUAUUUACCUUUGCCAGUUCUCUGAGGAUUUAUAAGUGAAAAAAGCCUUGCCUCUCCUUGCAAAGGAAGGAAGUACUAAGAAAAUAUUUUCUCUUUUAAGCAGUUUGUUAAUAAUUAUAUUUCUUUUGUAUUUGUGGAAAUCUUUUUUUUUUAAUUAGGCUUCAUACCCAGCCUAGAGCCCAACACAGAGCUUGAAUUCAUGACCCCGAGAUCAAGACCUGAGCUGAGAUCCAGAGAUCAGGAGUUGGACGCUUAACCACCUGAGCCACCCAGGGGCCCCAUAAUUGUGGAAAUCUUUUUAAGCAGCUUUAUUGAGAGGUAAUCCACAUAUAAUGAAAUUCAUUCAUUUAAAGCAUAAAAUAUCGUAGGUUUUAGUAUAGCCAUGGAAUUGUGCAGUUAUGACAAUUUUUGAACGUGUUGAUCACCCCAGAGAAAACCCAGACUCAUUUGCAGCCAGUCCCUUUUUUCCCCAGUAGCUGUGCCCCCACCCCCACCCCCAAGUCCUAGGCAACCGUUACUUUCUCUAUAGAGAGAUUUGCCUAUUCUGGACAUUUCAUAUAAAUGGAAUCAUAUAAUAUGUGGUAUUUCGUGCCUGACUUCUUUCACUUAACAAUGUUUUCAGGGUUCAUUCAUACUGUAACACCUAUCAGUACUUUAUUUCUUUUUAUAACCAAAUGGUGUUCGAUUGUAUGGAUAUACCACAUUUUGUUUAUUCAUUCAUCAGUUGCUACACAUUUGGGUGGUUUCCACAUUGGGGCUGUCAUGAAUAAUGAUGCCAUAAACAUUUGUAUACAAACUUUUGUGUGGACAUAUGUUUUCAUUUCUCUUGGGAAGAUGCCAAGGAGUGAAAUUGCUGGGUCAUGUGGUUAAUUAACUCUGUUUAACUUUUUUGACGAACUGCCAGACUGUUUUCCAAAGUGGCUGACAAUUCGCAUUUCCAUCUGCAAUACAUGAGGGUUCCGAUUUCUGCAUAUCCUUCCCAACACCUAUUACUGUCUUUUUUGGUUAUAAUAUCCAAGUGGUAUGAAGUGAUAUCUCAUUGUAUUUGACAUUUCUCUGAUGACUAUCUAUGUUGAUCAGGCAUAUGAUUAGCAAGCAGUUUCUCCCAUUCUGUUGUAAGGGUUAAAUUGUAGUGUAGGGCUAACGCUUAGCUUGAAAAAUAACAGCUUUGCUCUGACACUGAAGGUUAAGAGAUAACAGCCUUGCUUUACUCUUGUAAAUUACGCUUCAUGCUCUUGUAAAUUAGGCUUCACCAAUUAAGGAAACAAAAGUUCAAAGAAAAGAGCAUCAGAGGCAGGGUCAAGGAGAUCCACUGGUUGCAACUUAACGGCAGAAAGUCUAAAAUAAUCACCCCAUCCGGGAACUGUUUCUAACUCAUCUGGGAACUAUUUCUUUGUUCUGUCCCCAGUUGAUAAUAAAACAAUGUGAUCAGCUAUAAAAACUCUGUACCCCGGCUGUUCGGGGGCCACACUCUUAUCAAGAAUGUUGGUCCCGAUCGGUUCGCCUUGCCUCUCAUUGUAAUAAACUUUGUUGUGGCUGUCACCAGUGCCCGUAGCAUUCUGUUUCAGGAGUCGUGUGGAUGCAACACUGUGGAUUUUCUUCUCACUUUUCACUGAUGGUGCCCUUUGAAACACAGAAGUUUUUAGUUUUGAUGCAAUCCAUUUAUUAUUUUUUUCGUUUUCACUUGUGUGUUGGAUGUCACAUUUCACAAGACUUUGCCUACCCCAAGGUAAUACAGACUUACUCCUAUGUUUCUAAGAAUUUUAUAGUUUUAGGCCUUAUGUUUAGGUAUAUGACCAUUUUGAAGUGUUUUUUGUGUAUGAUAUGAGAAAAGAGUCCAACUUCAUUCUUUUGCAUGUGGAUAUCAAGUCCCAGCACCAUUUGCUGAAAAGCCUGUUCUUUUCCUCCCUGAAUUAUCUUGUACCCUUGUUGAAAAUCAAUUAACUAUAAAUGCAAGGGUUUGUUUCCAGACUCUCAAUUUAUUGAACUAUAUGUUUUCCUUUAUGCCACGACCACACCAUCUUACUGCUUUGUAGUAAGUUCUGAAGUUAGGACACGUGAAUCUUCCAAUUUUAUUCUUUUUUUUUUUUUCCAAAUUGUUUUGGCCACUCACACCAGCAUUCCAGAAGUUCCAUCAGACAGCUUUCUUUUUGUUGUUAAUUAUUGGAAAUUAAUUAGCCACAAGAUUUUCUUGUCAUUUGUGAACACCAUAGGCUAUAUCUAAUUCAAACAGGCAUACCUUCUAUCAAAGGAGAGGGAAAUGUAUACAAAGAAAAAAGAAACAAUGGAAACUGGUUUUUCGUGACUUGAAAAAUAAAGAACUCUAAUUGAUAGCAAAUUAAAUAUAUCUGAAUGUGUGUUUGGGGAAUGGAGAUGGAGUAGGAAUGAUUGCUUCUGGCUUGUCAGACUUCAUGACAUCCUGAGAAAUCAUAAAGAUUCUGCGUACAAGGCUUUUUCUUUUUCCAUUCUCUACUAAAAGAAAUAGGGAAGUUCAGUAGAAAUAUAUCCAAAUGAGCAGUGUCAAGAUAGAAGGGAAGUCUUUUGAGCCAACAGCAAAGUGUUAAUCUUAAAGCUGAACCCUUAGUUCAACUCAAUCUAACUCAGCAAGUAUAGAGAAAAUAGCAUCUAAUAAAGUAGAGAGAAAUGCAUCUCUAAACUCCUCCAUAGUGUUACCUAGCUUUCCUAACAAUCUGAUAAGGUAUUAUCAAUGUAUGGGUAUGUGAUGGUUCAUCACGUAUCAGUUUACAGGGUAUUUGGGGAUGAAAUUAAUAUUUAAAUCUGGAUUACUCUCCCAAAUGUGGGUGGGCCUUUUGCAUUCAGUUUAAGAACUGAAUAGGACAAAAACACCAGCCUCCCUGAGCAAGAAGGAAUUCACCUACAGACUGUCUUUGGAUUUCACCUGCACAUCGACUCUCCUGGGUCUCAAGCCUUCUGGUCCACACUGAAGAUCUGGACUUGCCAACCUCCAUAAUAUUGUAAGCCAAUUCCUUAUAAUAAGUCUCUGUCUAUAUGUAUGCAUCCCAUUGGUUUGUUUCUCUGGAGAACUCUAAUGAAUACAGGGUAUAAAUAAUUUCUAAACAAAUGGAUUGGUGUAUUUUUGCCUGCCUCCAGAGAGAAUUUAUAAAUUUCAUUAUAAAACACCUUAAAAUUGAAGAUGCUUCUAUUUUGACUGACUUAUAGAAACUAAUAAUCUUUUUUUAUUGAAGUAUAAUCAAUAUACCAUGUUAUAUUAGUUUCAGGUAUGCAAUAUAAUGAUUCAGCAAUUCUGUACAUUACUCAUUGUUCAUCACUUGAUAAUUAUGCUCUUAAUCCCCUUUAUCUAGUUCUCCCAUCUCCCCGCCAACCUCCCCUCUAGCAAUCAUCAGUUUGUUCUCUGUAUUUAACAGCCUGGUUUUUUGUUUGUCUUUUUUUUCUUUGUUUUGUUUCAUAAGUUCUACAUGUGAGAAGCAUAUGGUAUUUACCUUUCUCUGUCUGACCUAUUUCACUUAGCAAAAUACCCUUCAGAUCUAUCCAUAUUUUUGCAAAUGGCAAGAUGUCGUUCUUUUUUAUGGCUGAGUAAUAUAUCAUUGUGUAUAUAUACCACAUCUUUGUCUGUUCACCUAUUGGACACUUGGGUUGCUUCCAUAUCAUGACUGUUGUAAAUGCUGCAGUAAACAUAGAGGUGCAUAUAUCUUUUCAAAUUAGUAUUUCGAUUUUCUCUGAAUAAAUAUCCAGUAGUGGAAUUACUGCA